GCAACUCUGUGGAGAUGACAGUCUGGCCAGGAAGAGAAGGUAGAGAGUGCCCCGAGGCCCUUCAGUCUUGCUGGACCAGCUGAUGGGAAAGAAGUAAAGAGAUGACAGACAGCUACUCAAACCAAGCAGAGAAAAUGUGAAAGCGAAUUGCUCCUGCGCUCUGACCACCAUAGGUUUCUUCUGCCUAUGUGAGCUCCUGGGAUCCAUUUGGCUCCCAGGCUUGUCUUUGGCUUUAACCUUGGAUUUCUUUGGCCAUGUGACUUUUUCUUGUCCUUUGGUGCUGGGGUGUUCUCUUCCAUCCUCUUGAAAGUUCACCUAAAGCCUCAACAUCCUUUAGGAAAUAUUUCCUAACUUAAUCCAUCUGAUUUGAAUUAAGCAGUUAAUUCUUACCAAGCUUGUGUAAUAAAGACCUGCUCAUUCAGCCUUCUGAAGAGAAAAGCUGCAUUAACCAGCAUGUCUAUUUACUUACAGUUCAUUACUAAUUGAUUUUCACAAUGAUGACCUCAGUAGGUUGCAAGAUUCUGAAGUACUAAAGACUGAAUAAAGUUUGCUUAAUGUAGUUGGAUUAGUUUUCUGUGCUGUAACUGUGGGAG